AAGGAUGCCCGCGUCCUCCGAGCCACCGCUCCCUCGGCUCAACGAGUUGGAGAGCGAGUUGGAGAGCGGGAAGAGGGUCAAAAAGCAAGACCUCUAGAAGUAAUACGAAGACUCUUUCAGGUGUAUCUGUCAGGGAAGGUACCUGCCAACCAAGUCCUAACUAUUUCACAGCACAGGAAACUGGAGUGCUGGACUGUUCCUUAAAAGCGACAGAUGGACCUGGGUUCUGCUUAUAACUUUGAGCAAGCCUCGGUUUCUUCAUAUGUAAGAUAAACGGCGAUAAUUAUUAUUAAUAACAUUGCACCCACUUCACUUGAUUGCUGCGAGAACAGAGAGAGCCAGAUGCAGGUGCCCCUUACAUAACAACCCCAGUAAAUUUAGAUCUGAGGCCUAGAGGGAGCCCUAGAGGCGGGCCUGCAGGUACCCAGCAAAGCAGGUUCCAGGCUACCUUUCUGCAGAGCGCUCCCCUCGACAGAAGUAAGACCUCCGAACUCUAAAGCUUCAAUUCUAGCUUCUUGGAGUCUACACACUUGCUACUCCAAGAGGUCCACAAACCAGCAGCACAUGGAAACCCAUUAAAAACGUGAAUCUCAGGCCCCAUCACAGAAUCUCUAAAUCAGGAGGCACACUUCAGAAUCUCUGGUGAUUCUGAUGUACAUCAAGUUUCUAAAAUUAAACUUUUGUAAACCUUGAGAAGGGGAAUAGGAAGUCGCUGAUCAGUAGUAGGCAAGAUUUGCCACUUAGGAUAUUUUAAAAACUGACUAGUAAAGUCCUUUUUCAUUUUACCCUCUGGCUAUUUUGUCUCUUUCCUUCCCCUCACUUUUCUGUCUUUUAACUAUAAAUCUGAAUUUAAGUUUCAAAAACUCUAGGUUAAAUCAAAGUGCUGAUUAGUGAAUAUAUGUUUAAAAUACACAAAAGAAGAAACAAGUCAGGCACGAUGGUGGACACCUGAAUUCCCAGCAUUUAGGAGGCUGAGGCAAAAUGAUAGCCAGGAGUUCAAGGCCAGCAGAGGCUACAUAGUGAGUUCAAACCCAGCCAAAUUACCUAGUGAGACCCUGUCUCAAACAAACACACAAUAGAGCUUAUGAAAGAAUUCAUUAGCAUUGAAAAUGAACCUAUAAAUGUAGGAGCAGGAGUGAGCCCUGAACUCUUGGCUGUCAAGGGCUUUAGAUUCAAGACUUGAAUGCCUUUGUGUUUCAGAAAAAACACUUCUCUCAGUUAUAUAUUGCUUUUCAGUGGCAAAUACAUUCCAUUUUCCAUUUAAAUAAUAUAGGACAACCAAUUCUUUUAAGAAGUUUUGGAGAAUAGAAAAGACUCCAGGCCUCCUUCUAAGUCGUCACUUACAGGGCCUCUAACAAAGCCCAAAGCAAAUAUUUUGUUCUGUUAAGUGCUGUGUCUGUUGUUUUAUUCUGAGAGUGUUCUCAGUUCCUUUGCCUGAUUCUAGCUCUGGCAGAAGGAGUUCAUCCUUUACAAAUCCAGUAAUUGUUGGUUGAUGUUGAUGACUGUUGUAGUCAGGGUUUGCUAGGGAAUAGAUUUAAUACUGGACACAUAAUUUACAGGAUUAUUUUAUAAUAUUCACCCAAAAAGUCAAAUGCAGAGGAGUGCAAGAGAUCUGUCCACACACAGAGACCUGAAGAACCCAGGG
ensembl:lncRNA